CCCAGACAGCCAGGAUGUUGGCUUAGAAGCAGCCAUCAUUUAAAGAAAGCGUAAUAGCUCACUGGUCGAGUCGGCCUGCGCGGAAGAUGUAACGGGGCUAAACCAUGCACCGAAGCUGCGGCAGCGACACUGUGUGUUGUUGGGUAGGGGAGCGUUCUGUAAGCCUGCGAAGGUGGCCUGUGAGGGUUGCUGGAGGUAUCAGAAGUGCGAAUGCUGACAUAAGUAACGAUAAAGCGGGUGAAAAGCCCGCUCGCCGGAAGACCAAGGGUUCCUGUCCAACGUUAAUCGGGGCAGGGUGAGUCGACCCCUAAGGCGAGGCCGAAAGGCGUAGUCGAUGGGAAACGGGUUAAUAUUCCCGUA
rnacentral:rRNA from 1 species